CGCCUGUUUAUCAAAAACAUUUUUUUAACGACUGAUUUAAAAUACCGCCUGCCCACUGAGAUUUGAAGGGCCGCGGUAUUUUGACCGUGCUAAGGUAGCAUAAUCAUUAGUCUUUUAAUUAAGGAAUAGAAUGAAUGGCUAAACCUUGAAGUUUUGUUUUUAUAGUAAAGAUUUAAAUUUUAUUUUAAGUGAAAAUUCUUAAAUAACGAAAAAAGACGAUAAGACCCUUUAGAGCUUUAUUUUUUGUUUGAUGCAGUUUUUAGUUGAAAACUAAUUUUUAUCAUAAAAGUUUAAUUGGGGCAAUUUAAGAAUAAAUAAAACUUCUUAAAACUAAGAUAAUCUUAAUUUUUAAAAAUUAAGAAGUUACCUAAGGGAUAACAGCGUAAUGAUUUUUGAGAGUUCAUAUCGACAGAAUUGUUUGCGACCUCGAUGUUGAAUUAAAAUUUCUUUUUGGAGCAGUAUUUAAAAAAGUUAGUCUGUUCGACUAUUGAUUUUUUACAUGAUCUGAGUUCAAACCGGAGA
rnacentral:rRNA from 1 species